rnacentral:lncRNA from 1 species
UAAUAACCAUGAUCCACAAGUCUUUGCAUCUGUUAUUGUCGGAAGACUAGCCUUUUCCAAAUGAUGCAGGACUAGCAUGAGAGCUCGAGAAGGUCGUUCACCAUUGAUUGACUUUGGAUUCUGCUUUAACUUAUCAGCUCUUGCAUAAUCACGAUUCACAUACUCAUCAGCUAAUGAUCUAGCUAGGGCCUCCACUCUUUCAUCUUCAUAAGAUGCCGGAUGAAAUGCUGAACCCUUUGGUGAGAUUUGGUCAUAAGUUUCAUGCCUUAACUUUGUAGAAUGAAGAUAUCCGUGACAGGCAAGCAACAU